ACCGCGACCCGGCUUGAGUGGAAAUCCUUUUUUUCUGCUUUGGCAUUGGCGCUGGCGGAAAAAAAGAUUAGGAACGGAAGACGGAAUUGUUC
rnacentral:sRNA from 1 species